rnacentral:tRNA from 1 species
GGCCUUUUAACUCAAUUGUAGAGUAAUACCAUGGUAAGUCAUAAAGCAUCAGAUCAAAUCCGAUAAAAGUCU